AUUAUUUACAUUUGACCGGAGCACAUGCACCUGUCACCCCGUGAAGGUAAUGGGCGUGAAGUUUCCGGACAAUGUGCAGUACGCAGUUUAGCCAAUCACAACACACCGGCCCAACUAACCAAUCUGAGCCCAUUGCCUGUUUCUGAGCGAGUGGUUUCAGAGAAUCAGGAAGUCAACCGGUCGUUCAAAUUGACAGAGGAGAAAGCGGCUUACAAUAAAGGUGAAAUAUAUGAAAAAUAAGGCGUUUUUUAACAAACGAAACACGAAGACAUGUUAUAUUGCACCCCAUAAACGCAAUCAAGCAAAGAAAAAAAGCAGUAAACCACCCCUUUAAAUAGAGAUUAUUACCAACAUUGAACUGUGAAGAUAUUGGUGUAAUAUGACUGUCAUUCAGUCAAGGCUGUAUGAGUCAGUUUAGCCAUAAAAAGGAAGGCGUACUCACCCUCUCAUCAUUUGUGUUAUGCACAUAGUAAAAACUUACCAAUAAAUUUUUUCUCGCUUCUAUUAUUAGUAGGCUAUGUAACAUGUAGCCAAUCUAGAAAGACGUAACAGACCUUGAGCCACAAAAUUGCGAUGACCGGACAAGUUCUUCUUACUGACAGAAGAGUUCCUUCAUUCGACUUCCUAAUUUAUCUCAUGCGGCUGAGAAAAAAUGUCUUAUGUUUCUGGCAUCUGAUUGAUGCAGUGAAGAUAAUGUCAGUGAUGGAGGGAGACUGUCACUCUACACAUUAAUAUACGCAGACAAGAUAAUUUUUUAGAUAGAUAUUAUAUGAAUUAUAUUCAGUGGAGUUGGUUUAGACCUGAAGAAUCUCAUAAUGUUAGAAUCAUUCAACGUGAUGUGAAGACAGGUGAUAUUAGAUAUUAUCACGAUGAGAUAUUCAGAGACAGACUACAGAUGGACAAUCAAACUGGAUCUCUGACCAUAAGCAACAUCAGAACAACAGACUCUGGACUUUAUCAAAUUAGCAGUCAAUUCUUAGUAGAAUCAUUCAAUGUUAUAGUCUAUGCUCAUCUCUCCAUUCCUGUCAUUACCAGCAACUCUACAUGUUCUUCAUCAUCAGGAUCAUUAGUGUCUAAUUGUUCAUUGUUGUGUUCAGUGUUGAAUGUGAGUCAUGUGACUCUCUCCUGGUUCAAAGGAAACAGUUUAUUGUCCAGCAUCAGUGUGUCUGAUCUCAGCAUCAGUCUCUCUCUACCUCUGGAGGUGGAGUAUCAGGAUAACAACACCUACAGCUGUAGAGUAAACAACCCUAUCAGCAACCAGACUAAACAUCUCAACGUCACUGAACUUUGUCAACCAUGUCCAGAUGCUUUCACAGUUAGCUGUUGCGGUUUCACUGAAGCUGUGAUUCGAUUGGUCAUCUCUGCUGUGGUGGGUGUGGCUGCUGUUGCCAUAGUGAUUUAUGACAUCAGAUCCAGAAGAGCUGAGCAGCUAAGCAAAGAGAAAACAUGAAAAUGUAGACUAAAUUUUGUUAUUUUGAAAAUAUUAAGAAACACACAGAAAACAUUUCUGUGAUAAUUCUUAUAAAGUUUUGCAAAACUAUUAUUUCUAUCACCAAACAAAUGUGGUGGUAGUUCUACUUUCUUCGUCUUUUUUCCUCAUUUAAAAUUGGGCAAUAUUAAAAGUUCAUAAAGAUGGACUGCAAGUUUCUGUUCUCUAUGAUACUAGAACACCAAAUGAAAUAAUAAAAAAACCCCAGCAGCAAUACAAUCUAUAUUAAAUUUAAAUGGUAAUAAUUAAUCUCAAUCAGUCAAUCUUGGCAGCUGAACGGUGAAUAAACAGAAGUUUCCUGUUUGUGUGAAAUAUUCCUUUCACACAGGAAGGAAAGUUACAGGUGAAAGUUUAUUACUCUUAAUCCUUGCUGCACAAAUCGUUUGAUUAAAAUACAAUCAAUAGCAUCAGUGUGUCUGAUCUCAGCAUCAGUCUCUGUCUACCUCUGGAGGUGGAAUAUCAGGAUAACAACACCUACAGCUGUAGAGUAAACAACCCUAUCAGUGACCAGACUAAACAUCUCAAUGUCACUGAUCUUUGUCAACCAUGUCCAGGUAUGGCAGAGAUUAUAUGAAUAAAUAUUUAAAGAAAUACCACAAACAUUUUGGUGCAGGUUCUCAAUAAAAGGUCUCUCUCCUCAGACUCUGUUCACUGCUGCGGUAUCACUGAAGGUGAGAUUCGAUUGGUCCUCUCUGCUGUGGUGGGCGUGGCUACUGUUAUCAUAGUGGUUUAUGACACCAGAUUCAGAAGAGCUGGAAAGAAGCGAAAAACAUCACAAUCAGAUGCUGAAUGAUGGCAUUGAAAAACAGGAAAUGAAUACACUCUUGAUGUAAACAAAGAUCUGUAACAUUUGACUUGACACAGUGCCACCUACUGGUUUCUUCGUAAAUAAGAGAUGCAAUGAAGAUAAUGUCAGUGAUGGAGGGAGAGUCUGUCACUCUACACAAUGAUAUAACCAGCCGUGAUACUAAAUUGUAUUACAUGGAUUAUAUAGAGUGGAGUUGGUUUAGGCCUGAAGAAUCUCGUAAUGUUAAAGUCAUUCAGCUUGAUGUGAAGACAGGUGAUAUUAGAUAUUAUUAUGAUGAGAUAUUCAGAGACAGACUACAGAUGGACAUUCAAACUGGAUCUCUGACCAUCAGCAACAUCAGAACAACAGACUCUGGACUUUAUCAAAUGUACAAUACAUUCUCAGUAGAAUCAUUCAAUGUUACAGUCUACGUCUCUCAUGUUUUCCAGCUGGUCUUCCCACCCCUGUCAUCACCAGAUACUCUACAUGUUCAUCAGGAUCAUUACAGAAUUGUUCACUGCUGUGUUCAGUGUUGAAUGUGAGUCAUGUGACUCUCUCCUGGUUCAAAGGAAACAGUUUAUUGUCCAGCAUCAGUGUGUCUGAUCUCAACAACAGUAUAUAUCUAAAUCUGGAGGUGGAAUAUCAGGAUAACAACACCUACAGCUGUGUGCUCAACAAUCACAUCAGAAACCAGACUCAACAUCUGGACAUCACUGAACUCUGCAAGACAUGUGCAGAUCAAUUCCACUGUUGCGGUUUCACUGAAGCUGUGAUUCGAUUGGUCAUCUCUGCUGUGGUGGGCGUGGCUACAGUUGCCAUAGUGGUUCAUGACAUCCGAACCAGUUUUCAUUAGUUUCUUUGUUCUUCUGAAAAUCUUUGAAAAAAAAAAACAUGCAGAAAAAAUUCGGUGUGAUAAUGCUUAUAAAGCUUUGCUAAACUAUUAUUUCUUCCUCCAAACUAAUGUGCUUUGAGUUCUGUUUUCUUGGUCUUGGCCUUUUUUCCAAUAAAAUUGUGCAAUAUUAAAAGUGCACAAGGAUUAAAAUUGAAAUGUACAUUAUUAAAAUAUACAUUAUUUGAAUGUAAAUUACAUUAUUUAUGUGACUGUCAUUAAUCUGGAACUCAACUAAUCAAUCAUGUUGAAUAAAUGGACAGAAGUUUCAAUUUUGGGUAGAAUAUUACUUUAAGAAAGGGUAUAGUUAAAAGUCUAAACUUAAAGAUCAUUACUGUAUAAACACUCUGAAGACAAUGUAGGUGUUUCUACUGGGAACGCUAAAAGAGGAAAAGAUGGUGAGAGAGCAACAUAAAUAGUUCAGUCAGCGUGAAAGGAGAAGUCGUUUUGAAAGUAGCGUUAUAAUAACCCACGCUUGGUUAACACCUACAUGACCCCCAUAAAGAAUUAAAUAAAUCAGGGGCCCAGAAACCUCAGACGCCUCUGUAUUUAGAAUUAAAAGCAGCGGUGCUCAGUUCUGCAUUUCUACAUCUAUAUCCCUCACCUGCAUUAAGUGUCACGCAGUAAGAUGUCAUUUUAUUUUGAGCCAUAUGUGAUGACAAAAACUGUACCUGAAGACUCAUUUGUUUUCAAACCUUUUAAGGCCUAGAGAAAAAAAACAUAAUAUGCAAAUUUAUUUUAGUUGGAAAUUAUGAAAUUAACCACAAUCUGUUUUACUACAGACAACUAAAUGUGAAUUUAUGAAUCAUUUUGUCUAUACACAAAUCUUAUUUAUUGUGUAACUGUAGCCUACAGUCAAUGUACCUAAUGAAAAUUAAAAAAAAUAAAAUAAAAUUAGCCACCAACAUUAAUUAUGUUGAAAAGGGUAAAUUAUAAUGCUCAAAACAACAAUUUUACAGCAUAGGCCUGCCUAAUUUUUCGGAGAUAAUUUUACUUAUGGCUAAUAGUGACACGUAAGAUGGCGCCAUCACAUUGUAGGAAACGACUGUGUCAGUUGUUUGAACAGGGUCUGAUAUACUUAAACAACAGCAAAAAAAAAAAAAAAUUAUAAUUAAUUUCUAAUAACACUAGUAUUUUAUCCGAGCAUUGAAACAGUUUUCUUCUGUUUCUGUCCUCAGAACGCGUCCACUGUUGCGGUUUCACUGAGCUAUGAUUCGACUGGUCAUCUCUGCUGUGAUGGGCGUGGCUACUGUUAUCUACUAACCACGCCCCUGCACGAGCUCACCACGGUCUCAGGUGCACGCCCCCCGCUCAGCCCCGCCCUCGGUUCGUCCCCUCUGUCUCUGUAUUUUUCAAAUAUUGCCAGUGGGUGGAGUUAGGCUCUGACCAGGGGUUUAGUUACCCUUAAGUUAUCAUGUUAUGUUCUUCUGAAAAUCUAAAAAGCAUGCAGAAAAUAUGUCUUUGUGAUAAUGCUCAUAAAGCUUUGCUAAACUAUUAUUUCUUCCACCAAACUAAUGUGCUUAAGUUCUUCUCUCCUGGCCUUUUUUCCUCCAUUAAAAUUAUGCAAUAUUAAAAAUGCAUAAAGGUAGAAAACUGAUUUCAACAGUUGUGCUUGACCAAUGCAGUAUGAAUGCCAAUAAAUAAUCACAGUCAAAACUGCUGCUUUACAACCAACAACUGAUAAAGUUUAAAAUGUGUAUCGGUUUUAAAAAAAACUUUGAUUAUGGGUUAUAUUUAUAAGAUUAUCUGUCAUAAUGAAGCUUGGAAAUUAUAUGAUGUUUGUGUAAUUUUACAUUUCAUAAAAAGGCACAAGAGCACAGAAAUGUGAAUACUACAGAAUGAAAACUGG